CGGCGAGUGAAGCGGCAACAGCUCAAAUUUGAAAUCUGGCUCCCCUUGGGGGUCCGAGUUGUAAUUUGCAGAGGAUGCUUUGGCAUUGACGGCGGUCUAAGUUCCUUGGAACAGGACAUCACAGAGGGUGAGAAUCCCGUACGUGGUCGCCUGGCCUUGCCAUGUAAAGCUCCUUCGACGAGUCGAGUUGUUUGGGAAUGCAGCUCUAAAUGGGAGGUAAAUUUCUUCUAAAGCUAAAUACCGGCCAGAGACCGAUAGCGCACAAGUAGAGUGAUCGAAAGAUGAAAAGUACUUUGGAAAGAGAGUCAAAAAGCACGUGAAAUUGUUGAAAGGGAAGCGCUUGCAGCCAGACUUGCCCGCAGUUGCUCACCUAGGCUUUGGCCUGGGGCACUCUUCUGCGGGCAGGCCAGCAUCAGUUUGGGCGGUUGGAUAAAGGCCUCUGUCACGUAUCUCCCUUCGGGGUGACCUUAUAGGGGAGGCGUAAUGCAACCAGCCCGGACUGAGGUCCGCGCAUCUGCUAGGAUGCUGGCGUAAUGGCUGUAAGCGGCCCGUCUUGAAACACGGACCAAGGAGUCUAACAUCUAUGCGAGUGUUUGGGUGUCAAGCCCGAGCGCGCAAUGAAAGUGAACGGAGGUGGGAACCCUUUGGGUGCACCAUCGACCGAUCCUGAUGUCUUCGGAUGGAUUUGAGUAAGAGCAUAGCUGUUGGGACCCGAAAGAUGGUGAACUAUGCUUGAAUAGGGUGAAGCCAGAGGAAACUCUGGUGGAGGCUCGCAGCGGUUCUGACGUGCAAAUCGAUCGUCAAA
rnacentral:rRNA from 1 species